rnacentral:rRNA from 1 species
GAGUUUGAUCUUGGCUCAGAUUGAACGCUGGCGGCAUGCCUUACACAUGCAAGUCGAACGGCAGCAUGAUCUAGCUUGCUAGAUUGAUGGCGAGUGGCGAACGGGUGAGUAAUACAUCGGAACGUGCCCUGUAGUGGGGAUAACUAGUCGAAAGAUUAGCUAAUACCGCAUACGACCUGAGGGUGAAAGUGGGGGACCGCAAGGCCUCAUGCUAUAGGAGCGGCCGAUGUCUGAUUAGCUAGUUGGUGGGGUAAAGGCCCACCAAGGCGACGAUCAGUAGCUGGUCUGAGAGGACGAUCAGCCACACUGGGACUGAGACACGGCCCAGACUCCUACGGGAGGCAGCAGUGGGGAAUUUUGGACAAUGGGCGAAAGCCUGAUCCAGCAAUGCCGCGUGUGUGAAGAAGGCCUCGG